GAGACUUAAAUGUAAGACCUAAAACCAUAAAAACCCUAGAAGAAAACCUAGGCAAUAUCAUUCAGGAUAUAGGCAUGGGCAAAGACUUCAUGACUAAAACACUAAAAGCAAUGGCAACAAAAGGCAAAAUAGACAAAUGGAAUCUAAUUAAACUAAAGAGCUUCUGCACAACAAAAGAAACUAUCAUCAGAGUGAACAGGCAACCUACAGAAUGGGAGAAAAUUUUUGCAAUCUAUCCAUCUGAAAAAGGGUUAAUAUCCAGAAUCUACAAAGAACUUAAACAAAUUUACAAGAAAAAAAACAACCCCAUCAGAAAGUGGGCAAAGGAUAUGAACAGACACCUCUCAAAAGAAGACUUUUACACUGUUAGUAGGAGUGUAAAUUAGUUCAACCAUUGUGGAAGACAGUGUGGCGAUUCCUCAAGGAUCUAGAAUUAGAAAUACCUCUUGACCCAGCAAUCCCAUUACUGGGUAUAUACCCAAAGGAUUAUAAAUCAUGCUACUAUAAAGACACACGCACACAUAUGUUUAUUGCGGCACUAUUCACAAUAGCAAAGACUUGGAACCAACCCAAAGGUCCAUCAAUAAUAGACUGGAUAAAGAAAAUGUGGCACAUGUACAUCACAGAAUACUAUGCAGCCAUAAAAAAGGACGAGUUCAUGCCCUUCGCAGGGCACUCAUAAGUGGGAGUUGAACAAUGAGAACAUAUGGAUACAAGGAGGGGAACAUCAUACACUGGGGCCUAUUGGGGGAGGGAUAGCGUUAGGAGAAAUAUCUGACGUAAUGUAGUAAAUAACAUACAGUAGCAUGAUUCAAUAUUUUUAAAUAAUGAAUGAUAAUAAGGGCUAAAACAUUGUUAUAAUUUUAAAGGCAAGAAAUAUGCCUAAAUUUAGUGGUAAAGGCACAU
rnacentral:lncRNA from 1 species